GAUGAACGCCGGCGGCGUGCCUAAUACAUGCAAGUCGAGCGAACAGACGAGGAGCUUGCUCCUCUGACGUUAGCGGCGGACGGGUGAGUAACACGUGGAUAACCUACCUAUAAGACUGGGAUAACUUCGGGAAACCGGAGCUAAUACCGGAUAAUAUAUUGAACCGCAUGGUUCAAUAGUGAAAGACGGUUUUGCUGUCACUUAUAGAUGGAUCCGCGCCGCAUUAGCUAGUUGGUAAGGUAACGGCUUACCAAGGCGACGAUGGGUAGCCGACCUGAGAGGGUGAUUGGCCAGACUGGAACUGAGACACGGUCCAGACUCCUACGGGAGGCAGCAGUAGGGAAUCUUCCGCAAUGGGCGAAAGCCUGACGGAGCAACGCCGCGUGAGUGAUGAAGGUCUUCGGAUCGUAAAACUCUGUUAUUAGGGAAGAACAAAUGUGUAAGUAACUAUGCACGUCUUGACGGUACCUAAUCAGAAAGCCACGGCUAACUACGUG
rnacentral:rRNA from 1 species